GUGCAAUUAACAUCGUGUGACGUAAUGUCUUUAUACAGCAAGGACUCGAAAUACAUUGGAGAGAUUGAUCAAAUUUGGGAUACUUUUGAGCAAACCCGGUAGAAACUUGUAUGUCUGUGCCUUGAACUUCAGCAGAGUUGAUCCUCGACAUCCCGCUGUAUGGCCGCUGUGCAUGCUUGUUUUGCUACUAGGGGCGAGGUUCCCGGAUAAACACUGGUGACAUCUGCUGCCAUGGCAACACCAUUGUGUUCCCUCCUCCAAACCUCCCCCGUCCAUCGGCCACCUCCCUCCGCGUUCACCCCCCUCUACUCCACCUUCUGCUUGUGCGCUUUGUCCACGCCGUCUUUGCUGACUAACCGGACUUAAAACCGGUAGGUGGUCUCAGAAAUGAGUGAGGACUACCACUACAGACUGGACCCCAGUGAUCGCCUCAAUGGUUUGGGACAGAGGAGAAAGAGACCUAAGAAGGUGCCUCGGUGAGUAGUAGUAGGAGGCGCCUCUCGCAAAUGGCAGGGUGGGUCCUGAUUUCCUCUUUGUGUUGCCUGGUUCCAGAUUUCAUCCGUAUCACACUUAAGAGAUGCUUUGAGAGUGGGGGGGGGGGGAUUCAUAUAUUUUUAUUGAAAUCUGAUGUCGUACUAAACAACAAUUCAACACAUUUUAGUGUGGUUAGAGAAGAAAGAUGAUGUGAAAAUCAAGGGGUUUUGUAAGGGUUUCCGUGUAUAAAUGAUUGAACUGUUAUUUUGAGGUUGGAAUUGCUUUUCAAAGUGGAGGGUGGAAUGCUCUUUAUCAUCAUUCAAGUUAGAUUUAUAGAAAGUGGCUAUGUAUAUGUUCUUAAAUUUGUGAUGAUUAUUAGUGUUUCUGUUGUGAUUAAAG